rnacentral:rRNA from 1 species
GGAAUUUUGCGCAAUGGGGGAAACCCUGACGCAGCAACGCCGCGUGGAUGAUGAAGGCCUUCGGGUCGUAAAAUCCUGUCAAGUGGGAAGAAACCCCCGCCGUGCAUAGCGGUCGGGGGGUGACUGUACCACUGGAGGAAACCCCGGCCAACUCCGUGCCAGCAGCCGCGGUAAUACGGAGGGGGCGAGCGUUGUUCGGAAUCAUUGGGCGUAAAGGGCGCGUAGGCGGCCUUGUAAGUCGGUUGUGAAAUCCCUUGGCUUAACCAAGGAACUGCAACCGAAACUACAGGGCUGGAGUCCGGGAGAGGGUAGUGGAAUUCCCAGUGUAGCGGUGAAAUGCGUAGAUAUUGGGAGGAACACCAGUGGCGAAGGCGGCUACCUGGACCGGUACUGACGCUGAGGCGCGAAAGCUAGGGGAGCAAA